rnacentral:rRNA from 1 species
CCUACGGGGGGCUGCAGUGAGGAAUAUUGGUCAAUGGCCGAGAGGCUGAACCAGCCACGUCGCGUGAGGGAAGACGGCCCUACGGGUUGUAAACCUCUUUUGUCGGGGAGCAAAGCGAACCACGUGUGGUUCAUUGAGAGUACCCUAAGAAAAAGCAUCGGCUAACUCCGUUCCAGCAGCCGCGGUAAUACGGGGGAUGCGAGCGUUAUCCGGAUUUAUUGGGUUAAAAGGGUGCGCAGGCGGAGGUGCAAGUCAGCGGUAAAAUUGCGGGGCUCAACCCCGUACUGCCGUUGAAACUGCAUCCCUUGAGUGCGCGAGAGGUAUGCGGAAUGCGUGGUGUAGCGGUGAAAUGCAUAGAUAUCACGCAGAACUCCGAUUGCGAAGGCAGCAUACCGGCGCGCAACUGACGCUCAUGCACGAAAGCGUGGGUAUCGAACAGGAUUAGAUACCCCUGUAGUC